rnacentral:rRNA from 1 species
AGAGUUUGAUCAUGGCUCAGGACGAACGCUGGCGGCGUGCUUAACACAUGCAAGUCGAACGGAAAGUGCCCAGCUUGCUGGGUGACUCGAGUGGCGAACGGGUGAGUAACACGUGGGUGAUCUGCCCUGCACUUUGGGAUAAGCCUGGGAAACUGGGUCUAAUACCGAAUAUUCCUUGCUGGUCGCAUGGCCUGGUGGGGGAAAGCUUUUGCGGUGUGGGAUGGGCCCGCGGCCUAUCAGCUUGUUGGUGGGGUGAUGGCCUACUAAGGCGACGACGGGUAGCCGGCCUGAGAGGGUGUCCGGCCACACUGGGACUGAGAUACGGCCCAGACUCCUACGGGAGGCAGCAGUGGGGAAUAUUGCACAAUGGGCGCAAGCCUGAUGCAGCGACGCCGCGUGAGGAAUGACGGCCUUCGGGUUGUAAACCUCUUUCAACGCCGACGAAGCGUAAGUGACGGUAGGCGUAGAAGAAGCACCGGCCAACUACGUGCCAGCAGCCGCGGUAAUACGUAGGGUGCGAGCGUUGUCCGGAAUUACUGGGCGUAAAGAGCUCGUAGGUGGUUUGUCGCGUUGUUCGUGAAAACCGGGGGCUUAACCCUCGGCGUGCGGGCGAUACGGGCAGACUGGAGUACUGCAGGGGAGACUGGAAUUCCUGGUGUAGCGGUGGAAUGCGCAGAUAUCAGGAGGAACACCGGUGGCGAAGGCGGGUCUCUGGGCAGUAACUGACGCUGAGGAGCGAAAGCGUGGGGAGCGAACAGGAUUAGAUACCCUAGUAGUCC